rnacentral:lncRNA from 1 species
AUGAUGGUAAGCAGUAAGCAGUUGAUCAUGCUUGCUAGCUGAGAAGCUUUGUUGAUAGAUCCUAGGUCUCGUUAUCCCAUGAUCCAAAACUACAUAGCUAUCAAGUUCACCGGAUUUAAACCCAGAAUGAUUCUCCACCGUCAAAGCCUGAUUUGAAUCGCCAUCACCCACAGACAAUGUGCAACUAUUAGUUCCAUACUCUGAUAAGUCUACUGUAUAGUGGAUGUCCCGCUGGCUUU